AUAAGAUGAAUCAUCUCCUCAUGAAGUACUCGAGCACCUGUUAAUAAUGAACAUAGGAUUAUAGUAAGUUUUAGAAUUGUUGGGGUGUGGAAAAGGAACUGUUAGAAAUGUUGAAUAUUAUAUUAACUUUGACAAGAUAAUUGUUGGACAGUAAGAGGUUAAAUUUCCAAAACUGUUGGACCUAGUGGUGAAAAAUUGUUGAAUAGAACGAGGUUUAAUUAAGAGUUGUAGAACCUAAUGGUGUAAAAUUGUUGCACCUUUACAUUGUAGUGGUAACUAAAAUAUUGGAAACUAGAAAUGUUGAAAACAUUCAUCAUAAAAGCUGAACAUGCAAUUAGAAAUGUUGAAAACAUUUACAAGUCAUAUAAUGGUAACUAAAAUGUUGGAAAUUAGAAAUGCUUCCAUACAGGGAGAACUAAUGAUAACUUGAAAUGAAACCAAGAGAGAAAAUUUGUGACAAACAUGGCAUAAAACGUUGACUGUAGAAAAAUGUUGAAUAACAUCAACAAUUAUUGGUGAAAAUAAGUUAUAAAAAAGCUAGUGUAUCUCCAAUGUAUGUGAUACAAUGUUGAUCACUUUGAACAAAAAUGAUUGUCUAUUCCAAACAAUGUUGGUCAAUAUCAAGAAAAUGUUGGUGAGUGUCUCAAAACUAAGUUAAAGAAAAAUGUUAGUAUAUGUGAUAAAAUGUUGAUGACUUUAAAGAAAAAUAUUGAUGAGUGUAAAAAAAAUGUUAGCCAGCAUCGAUAAAUUCUUGAUUUGUCCAAAAAUGAGUUAUACACAAAUGUGGGUGUAUGUAAUAAAAUGUUGAUCAUUCUAAAGGAAAAUGUUAAUGUAUUCGCCAAAAAAGUUGGUCAACAUCAAUAAAAUGUUGGUCAGUAUCUCAAAACUAAGUUAAAGAAAAAUAUUGGUGUAUGUGAUAAAAUGUUGACCACUCUAAAGAAAAAUGUUGGUGAGUGUAAAAGAAUUUUAGCCAGCAUCGAUAAAAU
rnacentral:lncRNA from 1 species